ensembl:lncRNA
CUUCCGUGCGCCAGUAUGUACUGGUGAGAAACAACGCUUUGCGAGACCGUUCUCUCUCCUCCCGGUAAACUUUCCAUUUUGGUCGUUAUACGACAGUCUUAUCAUAUUAUUGGUUUAAUAGACGUAUCGCUUUAAGCAUGCAAUCUAUCUGUAGGUUUUGGGAGAUAUGUCUAAGACCGUUUCGCUCUAGCGCCAGUGCUGGACCCGUGCCACUGCCGUAGUACCUCGAAACCCAACUCAUUCCGAGCAGGUUAGGCGGCUGCGUCUCGGACAGUGUGACACAUUACUUACUGGUGGUGGCGAAGGAGAGGGGUGUGCUUUAUCCGGACAGCGGUUCAAUUUCCUUCUCUCUUUAUUCUACGCUUGAGACAGGACAGAGAAAGGAAAAUGCAUCUGGCGCUCUGAGAACGAUAGGAAGAAAGUGGAGUUAUGAACCAACGGUGUACAAGGACAUAACUACAGAGAAACAGAACGUCUGUCAGAAGAGCACAAGAAGGAAUAGCGUUUGAAGAAAGAACAAAACGUUUAAAACUACAUCGAUUGAGAGAAAUGAGCACCUUGUGAGUCAUUGACCAGGUCCUGCCGUGUAGUUCUGGGCUGAUCCCUCACCUUCCUCAUGAUCAUUGAUGCCCCACGAGCAGAUGGAUGUUGAUCCGUCUCUCCGGAAAUGUGGAGCGGCAGUGAAUGAACGAGUGAGGUGGAAGUGGAGAGCGAUACCGGUGGAGGACAGGUCAGCACUAGCCGUAAAAGGGACGAGAGUGGAGGUUGG